rnacentral:rRNA from 1 species
UACAGAGGCCUCGAGCGUUAUGCGGAAUCACUGGGCUUAAAGCGUGUGUAGGUGGAUGCCUAAGUACCUUGUGAAAUCCCACGGCUUAACCGUGGAACUGCUGGGUAUACUGGGUGUCUUGAGCCACUCAGGGGCUACCGGAACAAACGGUGGAGCGGUGAAAUGCGUAGAUAUCGUUUGGAACGCCAAUGGUGAAAACAGGUAGCUGGGGGUGUGCUGACACUGAGACACGAAAGCCAGGGGAGCAAACGGG